CCUACGGGAGGCAGCAGUCGAGAAUCAUUCACAAUGGGGGAAACCCUGAUGGUGCGACGCCGCGUGGGGGAAUGAAGGUCUUCGGAUUGUAAACCCCUGUUAUGUGGGAGCAAAUUAAAAAAAUAGUCCCACAAGAGGAAGAGACGGCUAACGCUGUGCAAGCAACUGCGGUAAUACAGAGGUCUCAAGCGUUGUUCGGAAGCACUGGGCGUAAAGCGUGCGGAGGCUGUUUCGUAAGACGUGUGUGAAAGGCCCGGGCUCAACCCGCGGACGGCACAUGAUACGGCGAGUGUAGAGUAAGGGAGGGGGAACCGGAAUUCUCGGGGUAGCAGUGAAAUGCGUAGAUAUCGGGAGGAACACUCGUGGCGAAGGCGGGUUCCUGGACAUUAACUGACGGUGGGGCACGAAGGCCAGGGGAGCGAAAGGGAUUAGAUACCCCUGGUAGUC
rnacentral:rRNA from 1 species